rnacentral:rRNA from 8 species
AAAUUGAAGAGUUUGAUCAUGGCUCAGAUUGAACGCUGGCGGCAGGCCUAACACAUGCAAGUCGAACGGUAACAGGAAGCAGCUUGCUGCUUCGCUGACGAGUGGCGGACGGGUGAGUAAUGUCUGGGAAACUGCCUGAUGGAGGGGGAUAACUACUGGAAACGGUGGCUAAUACCGCAUAACGUCGCAAGACCAAAGAGGGGGACCUUCGGGCCUCUUGCCAUCAGAUGUGCCCAGAUGGGAUUAGCUAGUUGGUGAGGUAACGGCUCACCAAGGCGACGAUCCCUAGCUGGUCUGAGAGGAUGACCAGCCACACUGGAACUGAGACACGGUCCAGACUCCUACGGGAGGCAGCAGUGGGGAAUAUUGCACAAUGGGCGCAAGCCUGAUGCAGCCAUGCCGCGUGUAUGAAGAAGGCCUUCGGGUUGUAAAGUACUUUCAGCGGGGAGGAAGGUGUUGUGGUUAAUAACCACAGCAAUUGACGUUACCCGCAGAAGAAGCACCGGCUAACUCCGUGCCAGCAGCCGCGGUAAUACGGAGGGUGCAAGCGUUAAUCGGAAUUACUGGGCGUAAAGCGCACGCAGGCGGUCUGUCAAGUCGGAUGUGAAAUCCCCGGGCUCAACCUGGGAACUGCAUUCGAAACUGGCAGGCUUGAGUCUUGUAGAGGGGGGUAGAAUUCCAGGUGUAGCGGUGAAAUGCGUAGAGAUCUGGAGGAAUACCGGUGGCGAAGGCGGCCCCCUGGACAAAGACUGACGCUCAGGUGCGAAAGCGUGGGGAGCAAACAGGAUUAGAUACCCUGGUAGUCCACGCCGUAAACGAUGUCUACUUGGAGGUUGUGCCCUUGAGGCGUGGCUUCCGGAGCUAACGCGUUAAGUAGACCGCCUGGGGAGUACGGCCGCAAGGUUAAAACUCAAAUGAAUUGACGGGGGCCCGCACAAGCGGUGGAGCAUGUGGUUUAAUUCGAUGCAACGCGAAGAACCUUACCUGGUCUUGACAUCCACAGAACUUUCCAGAGAUGGAUUGGUGCCUUCGGGAACUGUGAGACAGGUGCUGCAUGGCUGUCGUCAGCUCGUGUUGUGAAAUGUUGGGUUAAGUCCCGCAACGAGCGCAACCCUUAUCCUUUGUUGCCAGCGGUUAGGCCGGGAACUCAAAGGAGACUGCCAGUGAUAAACUGGAGGAAGGUGGGGAUGACGUCAAGUCAUCAUGGCCCUUACGACCAGGGCUACACACGUGCUACAAUGGCGCAUACAAAGAGAAGCGACCUCGCGAGAGCAAGCGGACCUCAUAAAGUGCGUCGUAGUCCGGAUUGGAGUCUGCAACUCGACUCCAUGAAGUCGGAAUCGCUAGUAAUCGUGGAUCAGAAUGCCACGGUGAAUACGUUCCCGGGCCUUGUACACACCGCCCGUCACACCAUGGGAGUGGGUUGCAAAAGAAGUAGGUAGCUUAACCUUCGGGAGGGCGCUUACCACUUUGUGAUUCAUGACUGGGGUGAAGUCGUAACAAGGUAACCGUAGGGGAACCUGCGGUUGGAUCACCUCCUUACCUUAAAGAA